GACGAACGCUGGCGGCGCGCCUAAUACAUGCAAGUCGAACGAAGCUGUUUUAACCGGUGCUUGCACCGACUUAAACAACUGAGUGGCGAACGGGUGAGUAACACGUGGGUAGCCUGCCCCAAAGCGGGGGAUAACAUUUGGAAACAGAUGCUAAUACCGCAUAACCACAGAAACCACAUGGUUUCUGUGUCAAAGAUGGUUUCGGCUAUCACUUUGGGAUGGACCCGCGGCGUAUUAGCUAGUUGGUAAGGUAAUGGCUUACCAAGGCAAUUAUACGUAGCCGAACUGAGAGGUUGAUCGGCCACAUUGGGACUGAGACACGGCCCAAACUCCUACGGGAGGCAGCAGUAGGGAAUCUUCCACAAUGGACGAAAGUCUGAUGGAGCAACGCCGCGUGAGUGAAGAAGGUUUUCGGAUCGUAAAACUCUGUUGUCAGAGAAGAACGUGUGCGAGAGUAACUGUUCGUGCAGUGACGGUAUCUGGCCAGAAAGCCACGGCUAACUACGUGCCAGCAGCCGCCGUAA
rnacentral:rRNA from 1 species